UCUCCGUAGGUGAACCUGCGGAGGGAUCAUUACCGAGCGCGGGUCCUCGUGGCCCAACCUCCCACCCUAUGUUCCGCCGUCUUUGUUGCCUCGGGGAAUGGCAUCUAGCGGCCUUGGCCACUUAGAUGCGUCCCCGGUGGGCAUUUUAUUAAACUCAAUUUUACCUCUUGUCGAAGUCAUCUGAAAAUAAAUCAAAACUUUCAACAACGGAUCUCUUGGUUCUGGCAUCGAUGAAGAACGCAGC
rnacentral:misc_RNA from 1 species